rnacentral:rRNA from 1 species
GUCUACGGCCAUGCCACCCUGAAGAAGCCCGAUGUCAUCUGAUCUCGGAAGCUAAGCAGGAUCGGCCUGGUUAGUACUUGGAUGGGAGACCACCUAGGGAGACCACCCAGAUGCUGUAAGCG